CCAUCAGGUGGCCGCAGAGAAUAGGCCCAAGCGACUGUUUACCAAAAACAUAGGUUUCUGCUAAGUCGCAAGACGAUGUAUAGGAGCUGACGCCUGCCCGGUGCUGGAAGGUUAAGGGGAUCUGUUAGAGCAAUCGAAGCAGUGAACUUAAGCCCCAGUAAACGGCGGCCGUAACUAUAACGGUCCUAAGGUAGCGAAAUUCCUUGUCGGGUAAGUUCCGACCCGCACGAAAGGCGUAACGAUUUGGGCACUGUCUCAACAACAGACUCGGUGAAAUUGUAAUUCCGGUGAAGAUGCCGGAUACCUGCGACAGGACGGAAAGACCCCAUGGAGCUUUACUGUAGCUUGACAUU
rnacentral:rRNA from 1 species